UACAGAGGGUGCAAGCGUUGUUCGGAAUUAUUGGGCGUAAAGCGCGUGUAGGCGGCUUUGCAAGUCGGGUGUGAAAGCCCUCAGCUUAACUGAGGAAGUGCGCCCGAAACUGCAGAGCUUGAGUACCGGAGAGGGUGGCGGAAUUCCCCAAGUAGAGGUGAAAUUCGUAGAUAUCGGGAGGAACACCGGUGGCGAAGGCGGCGAUCUGGGUAGAUACUGACGCUGAGGUGCGAAAGCGUGGGGAGCAAACAGG
rnacentral:rRNA from 1 species